CCCUUAGAUGUUCUGGGCCGCACACGCGCUACACUGAAGGAGGCAGCGUGUACUCCUGGAUCGAAAGAUUUGGGUAACCCGCGAAUCUCCUUCGUGCUAGGGAUUGAGGUUUGCAAUUAUCCUUCAUGAACGAGGAAUUCCCAGUAAGUGCAGGUCAUAAGCUUGCGCUGACUACGUCCCUGCCCUUUGUACACACCGCCCGUCGCUACUACCGAUUGAAUGAUUUAGUGAGGACUUCGGACUGGGACCGAUGCGGCUUUCGGGCUGCGUCGGUAUUCUGGAAAGAUGUCCAAACUGUAUCAUUUAGAGGAAGUAAAAGUCGUANCA
rnacentral:rRNA from 1 species